CCGCUGUGAGAAGUACGUAUCCUGGCCAGCCUGCUGACUCAGGAGGUUGAGAAUCAGGUGCAGCAGACCAGAGCACUGCUUCAGUGUCAGGGUAGAGCUGCUCCAUGACCCAGAGAUUCAUACGAGAGGUGGAGUUUUGCUCUGUCACCCAGGCUGAAGGGCAAUGACACCAUCAUAGCUCACUGGAGUCUGGAGCUCCUGGGCUCACAUGAUCCUCCCACCUCAGCCUCCCAGGUAGCUGGGACUACAGGCACACACCACUAUGGUGGGCUCACAGGUGGUGUCAGGACUGAAGUGAACUCACUGUAGGACGCCCAGCUGGUUUCCAAGAAUUGGUCGAUGUGGGAGAAAUGCCCCGCUUUGAUGUCAGAAGUGUUGUGUAAGUAGAGAAAUGCUCUCACUAAAUUAUGGAGACUACUGCAAAAUUCAAUAAAUGCUCGCACCGGAAAGGACAGUGGAAAAUCCCAAACUUUUAAAGCUUGCCCAGGAAUAGGAAAGCUUUCUUCCAGGCGGUUAGUCUCAUGGCUUACCCACUAGGUCCCAUUCUCCAUUGGGGAUAUAGCCACUGAUAUCUGCCUCCUGCAUCUGCAGAUCCAAGGACCAGCCUCCGUAAGACCAGGACCCAAACUUCAGUUUGCAGUGCUGCACAUCAAAGGGAAACCAGCGUACAUCGAUGUAGCAGGAACUCUUGAAUAUGCCUGUGUGGGUGAUGGAAACAGAAGACUGAAACGGAAGCUGACUGAGAUGUGCUGAAAAUACACAGCAGUUCCUUCAGCCGGUUCCGCCCUCCACACUGCAGCUAACACAGUCCAGAGCAAACGGAAUCUGUCUUUUUAUUUAUUCGCAAAAUCUGUAAAACAGAAUCUCAGCUAAGCUUCACUGUCUUUUAAAAUCCAAACGUAACACUGACAUGCUCUCUCAAAGACUGUUUUGUGGGCUUUUUGUGCAAAAAGUUAGCUCUAUAAUCUGCAUUUACCAUGAGCAUCUUCAGACUCUAAAUAAUAAAAGUAAAGAAUGCAAAAUAUCUCAGAGAAGUUGAUAACCCUGAUGAUGAAGUUAGAAAUAGAAUCUAAAAGGUGUGUGUGUGUGUGUGUGUGUGUGUUUGGUGCGGGGUGAGGUAGGCAUUUUCUUUAGGUUAAAAAUGGGAAGAACACAUGAUUAUCGAGAAAUACAAUCUAGAAUUCUGGUUAAAGCUAGAAUUUUAACUAAUUUAAAUUCUAGAUGAAGAACAGAACAAGCUGGGCACAGUGUCUCAUGCCCGUAAUCCCAGUGACUCAAGACAUUGAGGUGGGAGGGUCACUUGAGACUAGGAGUUUGAGACUGGACUGGGCAACAUAGUGAGACAUCUCUAAUAAAAAAAAUUAGCUGGGUGAGGUGAUGCAUGCCUGUAGUCCCAGCUACUCAGAAGGCUAAGGCAGGAGCAUUGCUUGAGCCCAGGAGUUUGAGGCUAAAGUGAAGUGAGCUAUGAUCGAGUCCCUGCACUCCAGCCUGGGGAACACACCUAGAAUCUGUCUGUAAGAAAAAAAGUUAAAAAAAACAAAACAAAAAAAAAAAAACAAGAACAGAUAAGUUUAAGCCGAAGAAAUGGUGCUUGAAGGAAGAGUUUCCGCUGAAAAGAGCUAUUCCAGGCUAGGACAGGUUGGAAGUGGAUUUCCCAGAGGGCCAAAGGGAGGAAACCAGAAGAGGCCACUCCAGUUAUUUACACUCAUGUGCUCUUCCCUGCCCAGAGGAAGGCUGCAUGGCACAAGAAGACAGGCGCAGACUCGGUGUCCAGGUGUUCCUGGGGCAGGGCUGGCACUCUGCAAGCUUCUGUUACUGAGUUACAGAAAGAGUGCACACAGGAAGGGCCUCCACAGCCUUGCAGACAAGGACCCCACCCCACAACCGAGUGGGGAAAAGAUACACAUUUUGUCCCCUGAAGUUCCUUUAAGUAUGCUUUGCGUCCUUACAUGAAAUGUUCAUAGGAAUCUGGAAUCAUCACAGACAAUCCCCCUCCAUUAAUAGUUGGAUCCCCCCAAAACCCACAUUGUCUGCCAGUUAGUUAGAAAGCUUUGUAACUUCAUGAGCCCAUUUCUACGAAAUGGCCCGAGACAGAGAAUUUCCAGAGACAGAAAGCAGAUCAGUGGUUGCUGGGAGUAGGAAUGGGAAUUAACUGCAAACAAGCAAAAGGGAUCUUUGUGGGGUGAUGGGAAUGUUCUAAAACUAGACUGUGGUAAUGGUUGCAUAAUUCUGUAAAUAUACUAAAAGUUGUUGAAUCAUGUACUUAAAAUGCAUGAUAUGUAAAUUCUCUCUCAAUAAAGCUGUUAAAAAAUAAA